UAGUAUUCCUGGAGAUUUUUUUAUUUGUCUGCAGCAGUGACUGCCUUUAGGUGGUGAGGAAAACUCAUCCCCACCCACAGAAGUUAGUAAACCAAAGGUAUUUGAGACUGUAGUAUUAAUAUGUUAUUAAAAUUCCUUUCUUACAUGGUGAACCAUAUCUAAUUUCAGAAAUUGAUUUUAUCAACCAGAAUCAGCAAUAUCUUUCCGUCUGCAGCUCACUGCUACACAGACACAUUCUCUUUUAAAUACAUUUUCUCCUAAUACUGAGAGUAUUAUCCGAUGCCUGUGAAUGAGUGACACACUCCAAAUCCCAUCUGCUGAUCUACCUUGCGAAUAUUCCGGUGUCCUCCUUCCUUCCCAUUUUUUACUGCUCAGGCCUUCCACAGAACAUUAUUGUCCCAGCAGACCUUUUAUCCAAGGACUGUUGAUCACAGCCCAAGAGCUGUCAUCCUAUUUGCAUUCUGUGGAUGCAUCAUUAUUCACAACAUUUGAUGUCCAUAAAAACACAUUAAAACUAUUUCCUUGAGCAAAAAUAAUCAGCUCUCUGCUGUACAUAUCAUUUGUAUACUCAAAUUGUAAAAUGUAAAUUGAUAUAUAAGAAAAUGGCCCAUUAACUUUUUCAUUAAUGACAAUAAUAUAUUUUUACACCAGCAGCAGAAAGAUCUUGCCUUUACUUUAGCAACCUGAAGGGUAAAUGGGGCCCUCCUUUUUCUUUUUUUAAUUUCAUAAAAAUGAUGGGUAUCAUCCACAUGGAUUCUUUUAGGUAUUUUUAUUUGUCUUAAAAUAUGGAAUUUUGAUUUAUUAUAAAAUUGAAACUACUCUAAUAUAUAGGGUAAGUGCUUUUAUUUUUUAAAGAAAAAGAAUUAUUUGCUAUUGGCAUAUGCCCAAGAAGACAAGUUUUCACCAUGGGCUAUUUAUAAUUGUCUUAAAAUGUUUAUUAUAUUUCAGUGUUUAGUUAUAUGCUUCCCUAUUACAUCGAAAGUAUUGCCAACAUGUUAAAAUGAUGAAAAAGGGGCAUCUUUGUGGCCAGAACUUUCAUGGCAUGCAAAUGCACAAUCAGUUUGAAAAUACCGAGUAGAACUUUUUGUUAUGCGAUGUGGACAUUUUCAUUAAAUUUCAUUAGAAUUUACUUUGAUUACUUUUUGUUAGAAUUUAGUGCAUGCUUUUGAUACAACUGAAUAUUGAAUUAAUCAUCUGUCUUUCCCCAGAUAUUAAUAAUAGUCAUAUUCUUCCAGGGUACAGGAUUUAACUCCUAUAGUGCCUACGUGGCCAGUUGUCAAGCUGCAGCAUUUGAUUAAAACAUAGACUGAUAAUUUGUCUAUCACGGAUACAUCAUGCACUAACAGAUAAAGAGCAUCUGAUAUUAACUGAGAAAUAAAAUCUGCCUUCAGUAAAUUGCGUAGAAAAAUUACACAGUACAUUUAAAUUACCAUUUGCUUAGCAACAUGCCCUUGUAGCCAUUCCAGUGGGGCUAUAAAAUGAUCGAUUUACUUUAAUUUUCUACUGAAUCCUGAGAAAAAAAAUGGCUAUCAGUAACCUAUCCCUUCAUCCUAGCAUGCUGAUUCACUCUGUGUAUUAAAUUUACUGGCAAGGAGCAAGACGUUAACAAAAAGUAACAGAUAAUGUGAACAUUUCAUGCAUAAUCUGUAAUAUGAGAUAUGUAUUAAUAGGGAAAUUAUGAUGCAUUCAAUUAUUCUGAAAUGCCUUCCAGAGAUGUUUUGAUUUGGCUGCGCUCUGAUAGUAGCGGCACAGCGGGGAGCAUCUCGAGUGAUGAAUAACCUAAUCUCCUAAUCUCAAAAUGGGCACUGUUCACAGCUAGCCUGGGAGAGGCUGGUGGAAGAAACCACAUGUCACAGCCACGGCCACUAAGACGAACACAACACAAACAACAACCCCAACAACAACACCACCACCAACGAAAUAACCAGCAGCCCUUCUGGCCACCCUGCCAUGGGGCCUUUUAAAAAUAAAGCAGUGAAAUAUGCAUUUCUCACGGAGGCUGUUUCAUCCCCGGUGAUGGCACAGGGCUAGAUUCUAAUCUGAGAGGCACCUUCCACUCUUCUCAGCAAAACUUACAAGACAAAAGGCUAUAAAAAUGAUUGCACUUGCGUUAGUGCUGUUAGGACUCUGGUAUUUAUGAGACAUUAUGUAUGCACAGGAACCCUUACUAAUUUGCCACGUUUCAUGCACACCUGGAAUGAUCUGCCCCACAUAUACAUUUUUUUCCCCUUUUCCUUAAUUUCCGAAGAAAGCUACACUGCCACAGGAAACUGUUCAUUUUGUAUCCUAAGCCUCCUGUUCUAUAAAGCUGCCUGGGUGUAAUUAAGCAUCUACGUUUACUUCUUUGCGUGGGGAACAAUGGUCUGGCUCCUUGGAGAGGUCAGGCAGGAUUUAUUUUAUUGUAUACAGAGUCUGAGCCAUGGAGGAGGCUCUCUAGAUACUAACCGGUCAUUCCUUUGCCAUUUAUGUGGCCCUUUCUAUGUAAAAGCAGGGCUGUAUUUUCCUGCUCUGAUUUACUUCCCUUUUUUCAUGGGCUCAUGGUUACAAAACUAUUAGUUAAUACCCUGCUGUAAGGAAAAUAAGUCCUGAGGAAAUAUGCUAUGCAUGUAUGCCUUCCCCACCCCCAAAUUACUUGAUUGCAGCAGGCUCACUUUUUGAUUAAUGCAAUUUUGCAUAAGGUAAUAUUACACGAGUGUAUUACUUUUCAGUAAUUAUUCAAUGGAGUUAAUAUGGCAGACUUCUUGAAGAAAAAUUAGAACCGUGGCGUCUCAUUUCUCUAAAUCCCCAGCACUGUUCAGUAGGGUAACAAUAAUAAUUAUGUAUAAAUAAAUAAAUUUCUUUUAUCAAUGUUCACUUGGGUUGGAAAUAACGGGCAGCCACAUCCCCAAUCAGAACACUAACGGUUGUACUUUUUAAUUAGCAGUGUUCCGAGGGGCAGGAAUGAUUUUACGUGCAGUUUCGUUAUGCUGCAGUUUGGGAGAGUGACACAGUGAUUUGCUAUAACAAGGAUCUUUGCAGUUUAAUCAUCGUGUGAAAUUAUGUGUGCUGUUUUUGUGUUCGCUUUCCCCCUGCACCUUGAGUUUGAGCCACUCCAAAAAGGGAGGACCCGCAAAGCUCGUGGGGUGGUCUCUUUUCCUAAAGCCAUUUUUAUCUCCUCUAGGUCUGAUUUCACGUGAGCAUCAUUUUAAACUCCAGCAAGAUGUGGUUCUAUUUAACUAGCCCUUGCUUACAGAGGUCCCAUGUCUACUAUUAUAUUUCUUUACCAUGAUACAUACUUUGCAGAGCGUUUUUCUCACUAAUCAUGGUUUAGCAAACAAGGAAGGAGAGGGCCCGUUUUAUGAAACUUUCUGAUGAGUGAUGUUCAGUUUAUUUCAGUCUUUAGUCUACUAGAAUGUACAAUUGCUCUGAAGAUAAAUAAAAGAUUCAGCCGGGUGCCACUGGAGAGCAGAGCAGCAUGUCUCUGGCAUUGCUUGAGACUUAUCUGAUUUGGAUUUGUAUACCUCAUGGGGAAUGGCAAAAUAUUGGAACAGACGGCUUGAUAUUUCCGAAGAAUAUAGUGGGCUUUAUUAGCACCAGUUUCACUCCCUGACUGACGGCUUUCUCAAAUUUUUUAUCUUAUUAAUCCGUGCUACUGUAUGUAAAUGUUAUUCCUCUCUGCAUAAGGGAGGCAACCAGCGAUUUGUAAUAAAUGCUUAUGAGUGCCUGAGGCUGCACUUAAACUUUAAAACAUCUAUUAUUAAGUUGCAAAAAAACACUGUAAUGGCCAAUAGUGACCUCAUAGGAAUUUUAAACUGUGGUCUGCUCUUCUGCAUUAAAAACAACAAAAAAAAAUUUGCCUCAAGUUAGAAUUAUGAGCAAUGCUAUUUUAACAGCUGCAUUUUGAUUAUUAAAGUGUGUUUUACAACUGAAUUACAAUGCUUUUAUGGACUCUAGGUAUAAGAUUUAAAAAGGUCAUUAAACAUAGUCGGGUUUUGUCACAGUAGGUGUCAUUGUAUACAAUGGACACUACGCAAUCUAGUUUAUGUCACCGCAUUUGGGAUUUAAAAUAGCAUGAAGGAGCAUGUUAGUGUGCUUAGCCAUGUGGACGACUAUAGAUCUCUCAAGGAUUUUUGACAGUUUGCAGUCUGAGAUGACCACUUUCAUUAUUAUUUUAUUAAUUUGACAAGAAGCCCUACAGAUUUUCUCUGUAUCACAGAUCCAUUUGUCCCAGAAAUAAUUAAAAAUGCCAGCCUGGAGCAACAGACAACAGAUACACUUCUGGCAAAUCAAUGUUCAAAAAUGCAUUGCUUGUACUCUAGCCAACUCUUGAGUCCCGAAACAUUUCUACAUUUUCUCGAUCGGGCCGUAUAUGGGCUCAUUGAUGAAAGGUAUUGACCCUUGCUGUGGGUUUUCCAAAUGCAGGACCUUUAAAUUGAUUUAUCCAUUAUGUCAUAUGCUGGGUGCUCUAUGUAAUGUUUACUACAUCUCUUGCUACGCAAAUCCAGGGUGAAGUUGCUUUUCCCAGGGCUGCCUCUGCCGUUCGCAGCUCAGUAAGGCGGCAAAUGUAAACUUGAAUUUGCCUUGCCUGUGCCCAGCCCAUUAGCCACUUAUAUGUAAAUCUUUAAUUUUCUUUUCAUUAAUUUGGCACAGUAUUAUGUGUGACUAGCUGGAGUCCGUGCCAUCCGAGGAACUGAUUUCUGGGUGCCUGAUUGUUGAUGAGGACACAGGGAUGGAGGUGUGAUAAGGAGUACAGAAUCCUCAAAAUAUUUGACAAAAAUGUCACAAAGGAUUGUAUUUGCAUGUAGUUCUGUGGGUAGGACAUAAUGAUUAGUGUGCAGUGCGUUGCUGGCACUGCAUAUCCCAGCUCGUGCAGAUAACAUGUCUGCUGUACAGCUUUGAAUAUUGUAUAUGUACUUUGAACAUAUCUGUGACUAGCAAAGCUGUCAUUCUGUUGAAAAAUGUAGCUGCACGAAUGACAAUACUGGUUUAAUUUUUUUUAAAGGAGGACACCUUCUAAAUAAUUAUUAUCAUGCUAAUAACAUUUGUAUUCUUUUGUGUAUAAUUAAGAUCUGCCUGUCUAAGCAUGAAAUAGGGUUGAAAUCGUGAAUAAGUAUGCUAUCCUUAACCUAUUUAGUAAAUCAGUUUUAAUUUGGCUUUCUUUAGGUUAAAUCAUAACAAUAGCAUGCUGUAUACAAAAAUCCUCGAUUCAUGGCUGUAAACAAUCUUGGAAAUAUUUAAUACUUAGCAAAGCUUCCCACAAAAUUAAAGAAGCCCCUCUUAUGAAUGUGAAGUGCUGAAUCAAAAAUAAUGAUUCAACAAUUAGGGAAGUCAUAGAUUUUAAAAAGUUAAUGUUAACUCUUUAUAUCUCAGAGUGAUAAGUGCCCAAGCAAUUUUAUAUUUUGACCUCUUUAGCUUUGACUUAUGAUUUUUUUUUCUCCUGUGAUAAAAAAUUAAUUGAAGAUUCAUAUUCCACAUACUUCUGAGAGAACUCAAGGUGGCAAACAGGAUAAAACACAGUGAAAAAUAAACCAUUUAGGGAUAAAACAACAGGUUAUGUAAUUUGAAUGAUCACAAAUUGUUUUGGAAUACCUCAUGCCUUUUUGUUCUCUUAAAUAGGAAUAUCUGUUGUUGGUGUUUGGUUAUUUUUUUUUUUCCCUCUACUUCUGUAAUUUCAUGGCUAAUACUUAGCCAGGCAAUUAUGCUAAAAAGAAAUUAUCUUUGUCAUUUUGCAAGGGUUAUUUUUUAUUUUCAAAGGACUUAUGGCUUCUGUAACGCAGCAGAGUCCCUCUUCCCCAUCCCAACAGUAACCAUUUGCAUGCUGUGAUUUAUAAGGUUAUUGGAAAACACCUCCAUUUAUCAAUUAUGAGAGAGCACAGACUGCUCGGGAGCUGUUCAAGCAGCAUCCCUGGAAAGUGAAAUGUCGAAAGGGGUGGAAGGGGAAGAAGAAGGAAAAGAAAAGAAAAUGGCAACAGGCAGAAAGUGGGAGUGUGAAGAGUGGGUGGCCAGUGAUGCUUCUGCUUUUGUUUUCCUGCUGGGGACAGGUUACCCACCCUUCCCACAGCUUCCUGAUGUUGUGCACACAGGCCCCCGCCAUUUGAUUUCUCCAUCCAUGGUUUUGGUCCUCACACUGUUUGUCUAUGAAUCUGUAUUUUUCAGUUGUCAGCCAGUGUGUUCUGAGUGCCUGUGCUCUGUGUGUGCUGUGUUUGUGGGCCUAGCAUGUGCAAAGCCCUGUGAGGAAUUUGAAGGAAGUGGUUUUGAGACCUAACUACUCUCAUGGGCCAAACAGGAUCAUACCAAUUAAAGAGAAAUAAAAGAGACAAUAUGAGAUGAAUGCUAACUAAGUGAAAUCAUAUUUGUAAAAUGGUUUGCAUCAUAGUGCCUGACACCUGAAAAUUACUUCAUAAAUAAUAGCCAAUAACAGUCAUAAUAUCUCGAUAAUGAUCAUCAUGGUAACAUUGGUGCUGGUGAGGACUUUGGCAGUUAUCAUCGCAGGGAAACAGGUUAGAAUAGAGCAAGUGUUUCCAAGACGUCCAAAACCCUGGGCACUUGAAUGAGCUUUCCGCAGUCAAAGCUGCUUUGAUGGGACUUCCUCUAACACCAGCUCCCUGCCCCUUACCCCCACUUUCCCACCACCCCCACUCUGGUUCUUUCUCCAUAGUACUUAUUACAUUCAAAUCUACUACCUGAUUGACUGUCUACUGUCUUCUGUUUCUUUCCCCCUACUGGAAUUCGAGCUCUCCGUGAGAACAGGGAUCUUCGUCUGUUUUGUUUGUUGCUGUAUCCCAAGGGCUCUGAGUAUGUUUGGCACUGUUUAGGCUCUUAGUAACUCUUUAUUGAAUAUCCAUUGAAUAACUGAUGGCUCUCUAACUAGCCUACCUGCUGCUGUUUCCAAACCUUGUGACUUAACCACUGCCAUCUUUUAUAUUUUUGUAACAGCACACUGAAUGGUCACUAUGGCCAAGCUUCUCCAUAGGGAGAGUCCACCUGUGCUGGGGAGGGGAAGAGAGGAGGAUCCCAGGGCUGGCCUCAUGGCCCGUGACAGCUGUAUGCCUAUAGUAGGUUUCUGGGAAUGGCUAGAAAAUCCAGUUACUACCUACUCAUCUGUUUGCCCAUUGAAGCCAGUUUCUCCAGACAGGCCUUUUCCUGAGAUACUUCCCUGAACAAUUCCUGUGAGCAAACAUUAUGUGAAGAAGCUUUGGAACCUGGAUUUGAUCUUUUCUCCCCACCUCCUAACCUAAGGCACAUUCUUAGCCUCCCUAUGCUGCACUUUUCUUAUUUAUGGAGCUGAGCUGCCUGCCUCCUGGAAUUAUGAGAAAUUAAAUAACAUGCUGCGUGAGCUUUGUACAGUGAAUGGUAGCCAAUGAAAUACUGCCACAGCUAACUAUUAUUCCUUUAUGAUUAUUGUUGUUGUCAUUGUUUAUUUUGGCUGUGAUCCAUUAUGUUGCAUUAAAUAUUAUCUAAUAUGUUGGAAUCUGUUUCACACAGUUCUCUUGCUUUAUUUUCUAUGCAUUUCUCCUUUAAGUUAUUUUUUCUCCUAUAUUUUUCCAGGGAUUUAAAUUAUUAGAGGGAUUUAUUUAUUUAUUUAUUUAUUUAUUUAUUUGUCUUUUUGCUAUUUCUUUGGGCCGCUCCCGCAGCAUAUGGAGGGUCCCAGGCUAGGGGUCAAAUCGGAGCUGUAGCCCCCGGCCUACGCCAGAGCCACAGCAACGCUGGAUCCGAGCCACGUCUGCAGCCUACACCACAGCUCACGGCAAUGCCAGAUCCUUAACCUACUGAGCAAGGCCAGGGAUUGAACCCGCAACCUCAUGGUUCCUAGUCGGAUUCGUUAACCACUGCGCCACGAUGGGAACUCUAGGGAUUUAUUUUUAAAAAAAAAUUAAGUAAUUAUUCUAGGAGAAUAUACUGAGAUUCAAAAUUAUACUUGCUUUAGAAUUAAAAAAGCAUUUUUUUCCCCCAAGUCAUGAUUAUUAAUAGAAAGAGGAGUAAAGUUAUGGAAUUUAGAUGAAGGUCACUGGAGAAAGAGGUAUAGAGGAAGAAGUAGUUCUAAACCAUUUACUAUCUUGAUUUUAUUUUUAAUUUCCAUACACAUAAAUCACCAACCCUAAUUGUGUAUUUUUUUUAAUGGAGCCUGGUGAUUUUCCUGCUACCUAUAUUUUCUUGAAAGUAAUUAUUAUUUGUCAAAUAAUGAAUUAAUUAGAGAUUAUCUAUCUUUAUAUCUAUAUCUGUAAAUAUAGAGGAUAAAUAUCUCCAAACGAGGAAUUAUUUUUCAAAAAAAAACCCUAAACAUAAAGAGAUAAUUAAUUUUGAAAAAGUGAAGUGGAAAAGUCCAAGCACAUUAUAAAACUGCAAUAAUUAAAAGAAAAGAGAAUUUAGAACUUGACCUCACACAACAUGUGAAUGUACAUUUAUGAUCAAUUAAAAAGUUAAAUGUAAAAAAAAAAUCCAGAAGAAAUAUCUAGUUUCAAGAUAUAUUACCAAUUUAUAAUCUCGGUGUAGAGAAAGCCAUUUUAUCAU
rnacentral:lncRNA from 1 species